rnacentral:rRNA from 1 species
AUGUCUUGCUUUGAUCUAACUAAAUCUCUGUGUGAAGAUAUUGGCAAGAUGAUUUGCCGGUACUGGUGGAGUCAGCAGGACGGCAAGGACAAGUGCCAUUGGGUCAGCUGGGAACGGAUGACAAAAUCAAAAAAGGAAGGGGGUCUUGGUCUCAGGGAUCUGCACUUAUUCAAUAUGGCAAUGCUAUCUCGGCAAAGCUGGAGGCUCCUGCAGUUUCCAGACACCCUUUGUGCAACUGUUUUGAAAGCAAAAUAUUUCCCUGAGUGCUCCAUUCUUGAGGUUGUAGCUCAACCAGGCGCGUCGUACACUUGGCGGAGUAUUUUACUUGGGCGUGAUCUGUUAAAGGAAGGGAUAGUGUGGAGAAUUGGUGACGGCACCUCUGUGCGGGUCUGGACCGACCCUUGGAUUCCGAGGGGUUCUUCUAGACAGCCAGCGACACAUCAAGGACAUGCAAUAGUCUCUAAAGUCUCGGAGCUCAUUAACCCAGUCACCGACCAGUGGAAUGAGGCCCUAGUGCGUAUGCUUUUUUCGGAGGAGGAUGCACACUCAAUUCUGGCUAUACUCCUGAGGCAGGGCAUGGAGGACUUCAUUUCCUGGCAUUUUGACAAGAGAGGUCAGUUCUCGGUCAAAUCUGCUUAUCAGCUGGGGGUUGCCAUCCGAGAGAGAAGCCUACACCAUGAUGCCAGCACUUCUGCUAUUCAAGAACAGGGAUCCCCCCUCUGGAACAAAUUGUGGCCUUUGGGUGUUCCGAGCAAGGUGCGCUUGUUCACUUGGCGUCUGGCUCAUAAUAGCCUACCCACAAGACUGAAUAUCAAUAGAAAACAGAUCGAGCUUGACACUCGUUGCCCCAUGUGCCUGCGCUUGGAUGAAGAUGGUGGUCACCUGUUUCUUAAGUGCAAGAAGGUGAAAGCCCUGUGGCGGGAAAGAUGCCUGGAAGAUAUUCGGGUAGCCCUAUGUGAAUGCAAGAGCCCAAAGGAGGUCCUCGGACAGAUCUGGACGCUUCCCCAGGAUAAACAGGUGCAUGUGGUCUCUCUCCUGUGGGACUGGUGGACAGCAAGAAACAAGGACACAGGCUCCGGUGCAUGGGGCUUCAUUGCGCGGGAUGAGGCGGGCUCUUUCAUUGCUGCAGCAGCAGGCAAACUUGAUCAUGUCCAAAACGCUCUUCAGGCUGAAGCUUUGGCUUGUCUCAAGGCGAUCGAGGGGGCUGCUGACCUGGGAGCUUAUAGGAUUGCGUUUGAAUCAGACUGUCAGGUUUUGGUGGGGGCGCUGAAGUCAAGAUAUUAUGAUAAUUCCUACAUUGGCAUCCUCCUGCGUGAGGCUCGUAGUUUAUGCUAUACCUCUUUUGAGGUCUCAGACUUCUUAUUCUGUAGGAGAACCUGUAAUACUGCUGCACAUUUGUUGGCGCAGUUUGGUCUGAAGGCGUCGGUGCCUUUCACCAUUUGGGCAGAUGGUGCCCCUGACUGUGUUGCUGGUGUGGUGACUAGCGAAAGUGCUAGGAGCCAAGUAUGA